GUUUUCCCAGAGAGAAGGUGGAGGAAUGCCUGUAAGGUUUUGGUAGAUUUCUGGUUACAAAAAGAGCAUGGCAUCAGCAAUGAAAGCUUUCAUUGAGUUCAUAAAUCAUGAAGAAAGAAGAGAUGAUGAAGGAUGCAAUUCGAUUUUCUGUAUUGGGUGUUGACUCUUAUGAGAGGCAGUGCAAAGAUCCAUGUCAUUUUGGCCAAGGAAAAUUUCUUUCCGAUGACGGACGGUGAUGAAGACAAAUCCUGAAUUCUUGCUAUUCUUGAGGAGAAGCCUGUAGAAAUGUACCUAAUAUUCUUGUUACUAUUACCAUGUUGAAU
rnacentral:misc_RNA from 1 species